GAUGAACGCUGGCGGCGUGCCUAACACAUGCAAGUCGAACGGAAAGGCGCUGCUUUUGUGUGGUGCUCGCGUGGCGCACGGGUGUGUAACACGUGAGUCUCCUGCCCUUGACUUUGGGAUAUCUUCAGGAAACUGGGGCUACUACCUGCUAGCAGCUCCUGCUGCUUGGUGGUGGUUGGAAAGUUUCGGCGGUUGUGGGUCGACUCCCGGUUUACCAGCUUGUUGGUUGGGUAGUUGCUUACCCAGCCUUCGACGGGUAGUCGGCGUGGGAGGUUGACCGCGCACCAUGGGCCUAAGAGAGGGCGCAGAGUGCUACGUGAGGCAGCAGGGGGGAAUAUUGCACAAUGGGGGCAAGCCUGUUGAAGCAGCGUCGCGAGCGUAAAGACGGCCUACGGGGUGUAAACGGCUGUCGGCUGAUACGUAGCGGUUGUGACGGUAAUGAGUAAAGAAGCACCGGCUAACUACGUG
rnacentral:rRNA from 1 species